UUUCUAAUGAAUUGGACAUUACAUUUCCAAAGUUAUAAGAUGGCCAACAGACCAUGAAAAGACAAUUAUUUAGUCUCCUGCUUGAAACCAACAGCUUCAGCAAACUGCUGGCCUUGAAUCAGGACCAACCAUUCUUUUUAAUACAUACGGAAUACUUUUACUAGAACAUUCUGGCUUCAAGCAAAGCAUACUUAUUUCAUGCAAUAGGGACAGAGGGUCACUCCUGCUGAUAU
rnacentral:lncRNA from 1 species